rnacentral:rRNA from 1 species
GACGAACGCUGGCGGCGUGCUUAACACAUGCAAGUCGAACGGAAAGGCCCUGCUUUUGUGGGGUGCUCGAGUGGCGAACGGGUGAGUAACACGUGAGUAACCUGCCCUUGACUUUGGGAUAACUUCAGGAAACUGGGGCUAAUACCGGAUAGGAGCUCCUGCUGCAUGGUGGGGGUUGAAAAGUUUCGGCGGUUGGGGAUGGACUCGCGGCUUAUCAGCUUGUUGGUGGGGUAGUGGCUUACCAAGGCUUUGACGGGUAGCCGGCCUGAGAGGGUGACCGGCCACAUUGGGACUGAGAUACGGCCCAGACUCCUACGGGAGGCAGCAGUGGGGAAUAUUGCACAAUGGGCGGAAGCCUGAUGCAGCAACGCCGCGUGCGGGAUGACGGCCUUCGGGUUGUAAACCGCUUUCGCCUGUGACGAAGCGUGAGUGACGGUAAUGGGUAAAGAAGCACCGGCUAACUACGUGCCAGCAGCCGCGGUGAUACGUAGGGUGCGAGCGUUGUCCGGAUUUAUUGGGCGUAAAGGGCUCGUAGGUGGUUGAUCGCGUCGGAAGUGUAAUCUUGGGGCUUAACCCUGAGCGUGCUUUCGAUACGGGUUGACUUGAGGAAGGUAGGGGAGAAUGGAAUUCCUGGUGGAGCGGUGGAAUGCGCAGAUAUCAGGAGGAACACCAGUGGCGAAGGCGGUUCUCUGGGCCUUCCCUGACGCUGAGGAGCGAAAGCGUGGGGAGCGAACAGGCUUAGAUACCCUGGUAGUCCACGCUGUAAACGGUGGGUACUAGGUGUGGGGUCCAUUCCACGGGUUCCGUGCCGUAGCUAACGCUUUAAGUACCCCGCCUGGGGAGUACGGCCGCAAGGCUAAAACUCAAAGGAAUUGACGGGGCCCCGCACAAGCGGCGGAGCAUGCGGAUUAAUUCGAUGCAACGCGUAGAACCUUACCUGGGUUUGACAUGGAUCGGGAGUGCUCAGAGAUGGGUGUGCCUCUUUUGGGGUCGGUUCACAGGUGGUGCAUGGCUGUCGUCAGCUCGUGUCGUGAGAUGUUGGGUUAAGUCCCGCAACGAACGCAACCCUUGUUCACUGUUGCCAGCACGUUAUGGUGGGGACUCAGUGGAGACCGCCGGGGUCAACUCGGAGGAAGGUGGGGAUGACGUCAAGUCAUCAUGCCCCUUAUGUCCAGGGCUUCACGCAUGCUACAAUGGCUGGUACAGAGAGUGGCGAGCCUGUGAGGGUGAGCGAAUCUCGGAAAGCCGGUCUCAGUUCGGAUUGGGGUCUGCAACUCGACCUCAUGAAGUCGGAGUCGCUAGUAAUCGCAGAUCAGCAACGCUGCGGUGAAUACGUUCCCGGG